AGGAAAAUUAAUCCAGCUGAAACUGGUGAAAUCACACCAGAUACCAUUCUAGAAGCCUUUUUUAUGAAUAGAAAGCAUCCUGUGAGCUGUAGACAGAUGGAUUAAUUGCAGUUUUUCCUAGAUAAAAAUAAUUUAUAUGGCCAUUGGUAGGGACUCUAAAAUGACAAAGGAUUUGGUCCCUAGCUUGUUCCUUAAUGUUUUGAUAGAUAUGGUGUUAACUGAUGAAAGGAGAUAUGAAUAAAGAUUGCUAGCUAGUAAAUAGCUGGUGAAGACUUGUCUUCACAAGGAAGGUUUCAUUGCAGAAAAUAGCUUUUAAGUGGAAGUUUAAGGAGAGCAGGACAGUUGGCAUGCUUGGAGCCAUAGAUUUGUCUGUACAGAAGUGCUGUGAGCGCCACCUACUGGUGGUCACUACAGACUAGUUUAAAACAUGAAUUUCUAGAUUCAGGAUGAAUGUUUUGCUCAGUUUUAUACAGUUGCUUUCUGAAUAUGAACUGACUGAAAAGAUUUAUAAAACAAACUGGUGCUUGACCUUAAACCCCAUUUUUAAAAUUGCCUAGCUGUUGAAAUGGAAUCUUGUUGAAACUUGGCCCCAGGAAUUCUUCUGUGGUUUCAGAAUAUGAGAGGCAGUAUGAUUUCUGAAAAAAUGAUUCUUAACCCUAUUCCCAGGAUAGGCAGUAUAGUUGAGUUUUGGCCAGAUUAACUAUGCUUCAGGGGUUUUUUCAAGAGCAUGAGCAAUUCAUGUGGUUGGGUUCUGGUCUGCCCAAAAGCAAAUUGCAUAUACUGAAGAGCUUGAUUAUUAGUAAUUUGCAGAA
rnacentral:lncRNA from 1 species